rnacentral:sRNA from 1 species
GGAUGGUUAGGAAGUUGUUCAUCCUCCAUCAGUGCUCCAUGGGCAUUGCCCUCCCACCACAAAGCUGUGUGUUUGGUUGUAAAGACUACCUUCCUAAAAUAGAGGAGGGUCAGUCAUCAGUCCAGGGUAUAUGAAUCACUUGCUCCCCUCCAAGAACCUCCAAGUGAUUUAGUAUUUAUUUCUUCAUGCUUAAUCAUGAGCAUUUUCCAAGGAAUGACAGUUUAUCCU